rnacentral:rRNA from 1 species
AUGCUUGUCUCAAAGAUUAAGCCAUGCAUGUCUAAGUAUAAGCAAUUUAUACAGUGAAACUGCGAAUGGCUCAUUAAAUCAGUUAUCGUUUAUUUGAUAGUACCUUACUACUUGGAUAACCGUGGUAAUUCUAGAGCUAAUACAUGCUUAAAAUCCCGACUGUUUGGAAGGGAUGUAUUUAUUAGAUAAAAAAUCAAUGUCUUCGGACUCUUUGAUGAUUCAUAAUAACUUUUCGAAUCGCAUGGCCUUGUGCUGGCGAUGGUUCAUUCAAAUUUCUGCCCUAUCAACUUUCGAUGGUAGGAUAGUGGCCUACCAUGGUUUCAACGGGUAACGGGGAAUAAGGGUUCGAUUCCGGAGAGGGAGCCUGAGAAACGGCUACCACAUCCAAGGAAGGCAGCAGGCGCGCAAAUUACCCAAUCCCGACACGGGGAGGUAGUGACAAUAAAUAACGAUACAGGGCCCUUUCGGGUCUUGUAAUUGGAAUGAGUACAAUGUAAAUACCUUAACGAGGAACAAUUGGAGGGCAAGUCUGGUGCCAGCAGCCGCGGUAAUUCCAGCUCCAAAAGCGUAUAUUAAAGUUGUUGCAGUUAAAAAGCUCGUAGUUGAACCUUGGGCUUGGUUGGCCGGUCCAUCUUUCUGAUGCGUACUGGACCCAACCGAGCCUUUCCUUCUGGCUAGCCUUUUGGCGAACCAGGACUUUUACUUUGAA